GGGAUUUUCACACCAUAAAAUGAUCAAAAAAAUUUCUAAUUUUUCAUGCAAAAAGCAAGGAAAAAUAUGGUUGUAUUACUCGAGUUUAUUUAUAUUUUGAUUAUUUAUCUUUUCUUAUUUAUCAUUGUAACCAACGGGGUUUCUUUAUGCUCUACCGAUAAAGAUUGUCUUCAUGUUAUAUGUUACGCUCAAUCAAUUCCAAAGUGUAUAAAGCACAUUUGCAAAUGUGUUCACAUAAGUUAUGUUCAUCAAUAGCUACAUGGUCUUAAUGCAUGAAUAAAACGAAAAGUGUACAAUUGAUGCAAGUUAUGAUGACUUAUUGGCCAAGGUUUCAUUUGAUGAUAGUGGACAUUCCUUGAUGACGAAUAAGUGAAAAAUCAAUGACUCGUGCUUAAUUUCGUAGCAUUAAGCAAAGAAAACCGUCACCAAAGGCUUGGAUUAACUACUCCUCAAACUAAUUAAUGUCUUAUUCUAAAUUCUAAUUAUUA